rnacentral:rRNA from 1 species
UUAAGCGACUAAGCGUACACGGUGGAUGCCCUGGCAGUCAGAGGCGAUGAAGGACGUGCUAAUCUGCGAUAAGCGUCGGUAAGGUGAUAUGAACCGUUAUAACCGGCGAUUUCCGAAUGGGGAAACCCAGUGUGUUUCGACACACUAUCAUUAACUGAAUCCAUAGGUUAAUGAGGCGAACCGGGGGAACUGAAACAUCUAAGUACCCCGAGGAAAAGAAAUCAACCGAGAUUCCCCCAGUAGCGGCGAGCGAACGGGGAGCAGCCCAGAGCCUGAAUCAGUGUGUGUGUUAGUGGAAGCGUCUGGAAAGGCGCGCGAUACAGGGUGACAGCCCCGUACACAAAAAUGCACAUGCUGUGAGCUCGAUGAGUAGGGCGGGACACGUGGUAUCCUGUCUGAAUAUGGGGGGACCAUCCUCCAAGGCUAAAUACUCCUGACUGACCGAUAGUGAACCAGUACCGUGAGGGAAAGGCGAAAAGAACCCCGGCGAGGGGAGUGAAAAAGAACCUGAAACCGUGUACGUACAAGCAGUGGGAGCACGCUUAGGCGUGUGACUGCGUACCUUUUGUAUAAUGGGUCAGCGACUUAUAUUCUGUAGCAAGGUUAACCGAAUAGGGGAGCCGAAGGGAAACCGAGUCUUAACUGGGCGUUAAGUUGCAGGGUAUAGACCCGAAACCCGGUGAUCUAGCCAUGGGCAGGUUGAAGGUUGGGUAACACUAACUGGAGGACCGAACCGACUAAUGUUGAAAAAUUAGCGGAUGACUUGUGGCUGGGGGUGAAAGGCCAAUCAAACCGGGAGAUAGCUGGUUCUCCCCGAAAGCUAUUUAGGUAGCGCCUCGUGAAUUCAUCUCCGGGGGUAGAGCACUGUUUCGGCAAGGGGGUCAUCCCGACUUACCAACCCGAUGCAAACUGCGAAUACCGGAGAAUGUUAUCACGGGAGACACACGGCGGGUGCUAACGUCCGUCGUGAAGAGGGAAACAACCCAGACCGCCAGCUAAGGUCCCAAAGUCAUGGUUAAGUGGGAAACGAUGUGGGAAGGCCCAGACAGCCAGGAUGUUGGCUUAGAAGCAGCCAUCAUUUAAAGAAAGCGUAAUAGCUCACUGGUCGAGUCGGCCUGCGCGGAAGAUGUAACGGGGCUAAACCAUGCACCGAAGCUGCGGCAGCGACGCUUAUGCGUUGUUGGGUAGGGGAGCGUUCUGUAAGCCUGCGAAGGUGUGCUGUGAGGCAUGCUGGAGGUAUCAGAAGUGCGAAUGCUGACAUAAGUAACGAUAAAGCGGGUGAAAAGCCCGCUCGCCGGAAGACCAAGGGUUCCUGUCCAACGUUAAUCGGGGCAGGGUGAGUCGACCCCUAAGGCGAGGCCGAAAGGCGUAGUCGAUGGGAAACAGGUUAAUAUUCCUGUACUUGGUGUUACUGCGAAGGGGGGACGGAGAAGGCUAUGUUGGCCGGGCGACGGUUGUCCCGGUUUAAGCGUGUAGGCUGGUUUUCCAGGCAAAUCCGGAAAAUCAAGGCUGAGGCGUGAUGACGAGGCACUACGGUGCUGAAGCAACAAAUGCCCUGCUUCCAGGAAAAGCCUCUAAGCAUCAGGUAACAUCAAAUCGUACCCCAAACCGACACAGGUGGUCAGGUAGAGAAUACCAAGGCGCUUGAGAGAACUCGGGUGAAGGAACUAGGCAAAAUGGUGCCGUAACUUCGGGAGAAGGCACGCUGAUAUGUAGGUGAAGCGACUUGCUCGUGGAGCUGAAAUCAGUCGAAGAUACCAGCUGGCUGCAACUGUUUAUUAAAAACACAGCACUGUGCAAACACGAAAGUGGACGUAUACGGUGUGACGCCUGCCCGGUGCCGGAAGGUUAAUUGAUGGGGUUAGCGCAAGCGAAGCUCUUGAUCGAAGCCCCGGUAAACGGCGGCCGUAACUAUAACGGUCCUAAGGUAGCGAAAUUCCUUGUCGGGUAAGUUCCGACC